AUUGAACACUGGCGGCAGGCCUAACACAUGCAAGUCGAGCGAGCGGCGGACGGGUGAGUAAUGUCUGGGAAACUGCCUGAUGGAGGGGGAUAACUACUGGAAACGGUAGCUAAUACCGCAUACCAUCAGAUGUGCCCAGAUGGGAUUAGCUAUUAGGUGGGGUAACGGCUCACCUAGGGGACGAUCCCUAGCUGGCCUGAGAGGAUGACCAGCCACACUGGAACUGAGACACGGUCCAGACUCCUACGGUAGGCAGCAUUGGGAAUGAUUGCACAAUGGGCGCAAGCCUGAUGCAGCCAUGCCGCGUGUGUGAAGAGGGCCUUCGGGUUGUAAAGCACUUUCAGCGGGGAGGCGUUACCCGCAUAAGAAGCACCGGCUAACUCCGUGCCAGCAGCCGCGGUAAUUC
rnacentral:rRNA from 1 species